GGGAAAAUGGUGGAAAAUUCACCGUCGCCAUUGCCAGAAAGAGCGAUUUAUGGCUUUGUUCUUUUCUUAAGCUCCCAGUUUGGCUUCAUACUUUAUCUUGUGUGGGCUUUUAUUCCUGAAUCUUGGCUGAAUUCCUUAGGCUUAACCUAUUGGCCUCAGAAGUACUGGGCAGUUGCGUUACCUGUCUAUCUCCUUAUUACUAUAGUAAUUGGUUAUGUACUUCUGUUUGGAAUUAACAUGAUGAGUACCUGUCCACUCAACUCCAUUCAUACAGGAGUUGGAGGUUGCUGCGACUCGUCCCGGGGCCCGCAGUCCAGCCCUCCAAUGGUCUGA